ACAUUUGCAGAACUGUAGAAUUUUGACCAAGCAUUUCCCGCAAAGCACUGCCAGGUGUAGCGCAAGGAUGCCUGCGUACCAUCGAAUCUCUGAGGUGACCUCAGAGCAAUCACGGUGUUGACACUUGCAUCUCUUUGAGGAACAAAACAAGCAUCCUCGCAAAGGAAAACCAACUCAAGUCACUCAGCUGCAGCAAUUGUCAUAAUGAGCCUGAUGGAUGUCAAAGAGGACUAUGGCCCUGAAACACCUGUGUAGCAUUGCUCUGGAUUGCAGUUGCCACAGCGUUUUUUGGAGAAUGCUCCACUUCUGGGAGUGAGUUACUCCUCUGGCACCCAGAACAAGAGUUCGACUGGCUUCCAUAAGAGAUGUGAGAUAGCAUGGACGCCUAUGGCUACUAGACCACCCUCUGCACAGAGUUGUCUACAGAUAACCUCAAAGUGGAGCUAUUUGAACCAACAGUGAGCUGGUUGCACUUGUGCAAAGCCUUGUCUCCUCGAUUUACUUUUUCUGCUCCACAAGGUUCACAUUAAGUUCCUGCCAUGCACACACACAGAAUCUGUUCCAGGGGACUCUAUAGCUGCUCUUGCCAAGAACGUCUUCAACUACUUUAACCUUUUAAAAUCUCUUGCAUUACCAUGGGAGAUGACCACUCCACACGUUUCGCUCAGGUUAACAACACUCUAAAGAGCUCGGCUGGUCAGUGGAAUCAGAAAACACCGAAAAGGUCAAAACAUUCAGGAACUGCAGA